UACGAAGGACCCAAGCGUUAUCCGGAUUUAUUGGGCUUAAAGGGUGCGUAGGCGGGUUAUUAAGUCAGUGGUGAAAGCCUACAGCUUAACUGUAGAAUUGCCAUUGAUACUGAUGAUCUUGAGUAUGAUUGAGGUGGGCGGAAUGUGUCAUGUAGCGGUGAAAUGCGUAGAUAUGACACAGAACACCGAUGGCGAAGGCAGCUCACUAAGCCAUAACUGACGCUGAUGCACGAAAGCGUGGGGAGCAAACAGG
rnacentral:rRNA from 1 species